CCUAUAAAAAGGACCUUUGCUGCAUGACUGCAGACUCCUGGUACUCAAGUCCUGGACUACUUUGGAGAACCUGAUCCUGAGACCUCAGCACGAUGUCUUACCAACAACAACAGUGCAAGCAGCCCUGCCAGCCUCCUCCUGUGUGCCCACCCCCUAAGUGCCCAGAGCCUUGUCCUCCCCCAAAGUGCCCAGAGCCUUGUCCUCCUCCACAGUGCCCGGAGCCUUGUCCUCCCCCAAAGUGCCCAGAGCCUUGUCCUCCUCCACAGUACCCAGAGCCUUGUCCUCCCCCAAAGUACCCAGAGCCUUGUCCUCCCCCAAAGUGCCCAGAGCCCUGCCCCCCUCAGCUAUGCCAGCAGAAAUGUCCUCCUGUGCAACCUCCUCCAGCAUGUCAGCAGAAGUGCCCACCCAAGAGCAAGUGAGUGCUUCGGCUGUCUCCAGGAGCAAGAGAGGAGAAGGAACUCUGUCUCUGAGGCUUCCGUGGAAACACUCCCAUCUUCCCUUCAAAGUCUUUCAUGGAUGCAGAAGAAUCUUCUCCACACUUCACCCUCCAUGUGACUGUGUUGACCCCGAUAGGGAAGGUGUUCUCCUAAGGUUGUUCUGCUUCUGCUGUCAAGGGGCUGCUGAGGAUGAUCUCCACACUGGUUCUGUGCCCCUGUUAACCAAAUUGAAGUGCAGCAGCCUUUUCUUGGGGCACUCAGAGGAUGUUUUCCAAAAGUGUCAGUCACCUUAGUUAGGUUGUUGCCACUCUGCUUUCAUAUCCUGAAUAAAAUACAAUUUUCUUGAU